CAGAACUUAAAGUAAAUUUUAAAAAAUAAAAAUAAAAAAUAAAUAUAAAUAUGUAAACAAUAUGGUUCUGGGACACAGUAUAGUAACAGGAACUUUAUGUUGGCAUAAUAAUCCUCAUUCAAUAAGCCUUUUUAGGAGAGUGUAACUGGCCACCAAUUUGAAGGAUUGCUUCUUCAUCCAAGAAAAGAAAUGAGGACAUGUUGUUCUCAUAAAAUGAUGGCUCCAAAUUAUUGUAUCAAGGGGUAGACUGCGUCAGCCUGAAUUUAUACCCCUAUUCUGUUUACACAAGAGGAGUCCUUGGCCUGCCAGACCCUUGGCUGCUUGCUCAAAAGAGAUGUCUGGCUGUCACCACUAUCACUUUGUCUCCAAAUAUCAACAACGCUCAUGGCCUCUCCUGGGCUGAGAUCCAAACUCCCUCCAGCAGAUCCUUCUUUAUGCAGCUUCAGCACAAGGUCUGGCUUUUCCACUUCUUCCAGCCUCAAAUGAAGUGCCAUUCCAUACACUGCAGGAUGUGACUUUCCGUGGAUUACUGGAAAUGGUGAGGUGAAACAAUCUGGAAGUUCAAGAGAGUUAAUCAGCUGAACCAAGGAAAGAGGAAAUUAUGGUUGGGAUGGAUGAAAAAGGUCCACAUACUGGUCCAGGAGGUCUGAAGAUGGAACUUUGGUCAACUUGAAUUUGAUGCCAGAUAUCAAUAUUGACUAUUAAGAUUCAGUAGGCGUCAGGAUUCCCUUUCAGAUGAGAUACAUGUACCCAGGAGUCAAAGCCCUGCAACUUAACAGCACAAGGGGAGGAACCAAACUGUAGUCUGCGUUUCAAUGGAGUGGAGCUGAGAAGUUCAGUCUCUCGUUGAUUCACACAAGGGACAGUUCAGUUUCUCAAGCAAAUGCACAAACAAGCCAAGUGAGAUUAAUUUGGGGAGAAAGAGGCAAUGGAAAAGAUCCUUCAGAAUGCUUUCUGAAUCAAAAUUAGGAUCCUGAACAACAACUUCCUAGGAAAAGAACCAGCUCAGAAUAAAGCAGAAGACUGUCAACUGAGCAGGAGGUUCAGGGCUGAGGAGGACUUACCAGUUUCACUCAAGAAGAAGCUUGGAGUUGGGGGGCUUUCAAUGGGCCCCUGCUGGUACCUUAGCUCUGGGUUUGGGUGACUCUUUCAGGGUUCUGAGUCUUCUCUGAGGCCCCAUAUGUAGGGUGCCAAUUAAUAUUGACUAAAAAAGCCAAACUGUAACAUAUGUGAAGAGGUUUAUUCUAAGCCAAAUAUGAGUAGCCAUGGCCCAAGGCAUGGUCUCAAGAGGUCCUGAGAACAUGUGCUCAAGGUGGUUGGGCUACAGCUUUCUUUUCUAUGUUUUAGAGAGACAUAAGACAUCAAUCAAUACAUGUGAGGUAUCCAUUGGUUUGGUCUAGAAGGGCAGGACGACUUAAAGCAGGGGAAAGUGGGUGCUUACAGGUCAUAGGAGGAUUCCAAGAUUUUCUGAUUGGCAAUUGCUUGAAAGAGUUAAGUUAUUUUCUAAAGACCUGGAAUCAAUAGAAAAGAAUGACUGGGUUAACAUAAGGGGUUGUGGAGACCAAGGUUUUUAUUACAUAGAUGAAGUCUCAUAAGUGGCUGCCCUUAGAGAUAAUAGAUAGCAAAUGUUUUCUAUUUAGACUUUUAAAAGGUGCUAGAUUCUCAGUUAAUCUCUUCAGGUUUCGGAAGGCCUGGAAGAGGAAAGAUCUAGUUAUGUUAAUGAGAUGCUUUACAGAUGCAAAUGUUUCUCAAUGGCUCUGCAGGUCCAUUUCAAAAUAGGGCCAAAAAACAUACUUUGGGGUAAAAUAUUUUUAUUUCCAUUUUUAUCAUGUGAAGUUAUACUAGAGUCAGGUUGGACUUUGGUAUCUUAUUGCUACAAAGAAUCUGUUUUGUCAGUGUUAAGAUCUGUUUUUUUUCUUUGUUUUUGUUUGUUUGUUUUGAGAAGUGGUCUCACUUUGUCACCCAGGCUGAAAUGCAGUGGCACAAUCUCAGCUCACUGCAACCUCUGCCUCCCAGGCUCAAGCGAUUCUCCUGCCUCAGCCUCCCAAGUUGCUAGGACUAAGGUGUAUGUCACCAUGCCUAGCUAAUUUUUGUAUUUUUGCAGAGACAGGAUUUCACCAUGUUGCCCAGGCUAUUCUUGAACUCCUGACUUCAAGGGAUACGCCCACCUCAGCCUCCCAAAGUGUUGACAUUAUAGGCAUGAGCCACCUCACCAGGCCAAGAUCUGUUUUAAUGUUCAUGCUGGUCAGUUAUGCCUGAAAUCCAAAUGGGAGAGGGUAUAAUGAGGCAUGUCUGACCACCUACUUCCUUCCCUUUAUGGCCUUAACUAGUUUUUCAGGUUUCUUUGGAAUCUCUUUGGCAGAAGUGUGGGAUCCAUUCAGUCAAUUGGGGGGUUAGAAUUGCAUUUUUGGUCAUGAAACUUGACCUUGAAAGUUAUUUUAUGAAUAUGAACCAUUUUCUUUUUUUUAUUAUUAUACUUUAAGUUUUGGGAUACAUGUGCAGAAUAUGCAGGUUUGUUACAUAGGUAUACACAUGCCAUGGUGGUUUGUGGCACUCAUCAACCUGCCGUCUACAUUAGGUAUUUCUUCUAAUGCUAUCCCUCCCCUAGUCCCCCACCACUGACAGGCCCCAAUGUGUGAUGUUCCCCUCCCUGUGUCCACGUGUUCUCAUUGAUCAACUCCCACUUAUGAGUGAUAACAUUCAGUGUUUGGUUUUCUGUUCCUGUGUUAGUUUGCUGAGAAUGAUGGUUUCCAGCUUCAUUCAUGUCCCUGCAAAAGACAUGAACUCAUCCUUUUUUGUGGCUGCAUAGUAUUCCAUGGUGUAUAUGUGCCACAUUUUCUGUAUCCAGUCUAUCAUCAAUGGGCAUUUAGGUUGGUUCCAAGUCUUUGCUAUUGUGAACAUUGCCGCAAUAAACAUAUGUAUACGUGUGCAUGUGUCUUUGUAGUAGAAUGAUUGAUCAUCCUUUGGGUAUAUACCCAGUAAUGGGAUUACUGGGUCAAAUGGAAUUUCUGAUUCUAGAUCCUUAAGGAAUCGACACACUCUUCCACAAUGGUUGAACUAACUUACACUCCCACCAACAAUGUAAAAGCUUUCCUAUUUCUCCACAUUAUCUCCAGCAUCUGUUGUUUCCUGACUUUUUAAUGAUUGCCAAAUACCUAAUGACUUUUUAAUGAUGGCCCCAAAUACCUAAUCCUGAUGGUAAUGGUAUUAAGAGGUAAGGCCUAUGGGAGGUGAUUUGGUCAUGAGGCUCUACCCCCAUGAAUGGGAUUAGUAUCCUUAAAAAUGUGGCCUGAGGGAGCUCUUUUACUUCUACUACCAUAUGAGGACAUAGCUAGAAGGUGCCAUCUUUGAAGCAGAGAUUGAGCCCUCAUUGUUCACCACAUUUUCUGGCACCUUAAUGUUCGAAAUCCCUGACUCCAGGACUCUCAGUAAAUUACGUUUUUAAAAACUACCCAGUCCAAGUUACAUUGUUAUAGCACCCUGAAAGAAUCAAGGUAUAAAUUGAUAGCAAGAAGUGGUGUGCUGCUCUAACAAAUACCUACAAAUGCGGAUGCAGCUUGGGAACUAGGUAAUGGGUAGAGGCCGUAAGAAUGCAAAGGAUCAGGCUAGAAAAAGCCUACAUUUCUGUGAGCAGAGUGUUAAGAGUGAUCUGGUUAUGGCUCAGAAGAGGAGAGCUGUAAACAAUGCCUAAUCUUCUUAGAGAUUUCCUAAGAGGUCAUGAACAGAAUUUUGGUAUAAAUCUGGAUGGUAAAGGCCAUUCUGAUGAAGUCUCAGGUGAAAAUGAGAAAUGUUAUCAGAAACUGGAGGAAAAGCCAUCCCUCUUAUAAAGUGGCAAAUAACCUGGCUGAACUGUGUAUGUAUCCUAGGGCUUUGCAGAAGGUAGAACUUCUGAGCAAUGAUAGUAUAGUUAGUGAAAUAAAUAUCUAAGCAAAGUGUUGAGGGUGUGUUAUGGCCUCUCUUGAAUGCUUGUAGUAAAAUACAAGAAGAUAGAAACAAAUUAAAAAGAAUUUAUAAUCAAAAGGGAAGCAGAAUGUAAAGAUCUGAAAAAUUUUCAGUGUGGCUAUGUUGUGAAGAGUUAAUGAAAAAGCAUAUUCAGAAGAGAAUACUAAAGGUAUGACCAAGCCACCAUUUGAUAAGAAGAUUAGUAGGGAUAGAAGGAAGGCAGAUGCUAUUCUGCAUGACAAUAAGAGAAUGACCCUAAAGGCAUUUCAGAGACCAUCCAGCCUGCCACUCACAUCACAGGCUCAGAAUACCAAACCUGGGGCGUAAAAUGAGGUCAAAAGAGGGACCUUGGGCAUCCAAGGAACCUCAGUGCUUGCUGCCCUGAACUACCUCAAGUCUCUGCUCCCUACAUUCUGGCACAGCAUUUUUCAGCUCCCUCUCUCAUCAGAUGUGUCUCAAAUGGGCCCAGAUGUGGUUCAGGCCACCACUCUAAAGUGCACAGGCAGUAAAAAUCUUGGCAGCAUCAACACAGUGCCAUCUCCACAGGAGCACAGAGCAAAAUGAGCUGUAGAGACAUGGCUACCUCCACCUAUAUUACUAAGGGUACUCCCAGAGAGCUGCAGGGCAUGGACAAAGAUGUCCCACAGGAAUAGGACUACAAUAAAGAGUCACCAUUGGGGCAAUGUCUAUUAAAGCCAUGGAGGGACCACCAUAAAGGCAAAGUCUGGUAAAACCAUGAGGGCAGGGCCAUCCCAGAGACCUCAGAUUGGUAAAGCCACCAGUGUGCAACUCCAGCCUAGGACAACCACAAACACAAGACUCCAACACAUGAGCACUGUGGCACGGGCUAUGCACAGAAAAGUCAUUGGGAAUGGGACCAGUUAAAGCCUUGGGGGCCCAAUCCUCAUCCAAGUGUGUGUGAAAGGCACAACACUGAGUCAAAGAAGAUUAUUCUCCAGCCUUAAGUUUUAAUAUUGUUUGUGCUCUUGGGUUUUAGACUUCCUUGAAACAUAUUACCCCUUUUCCUUUCUUCUCUCUCCCUUAUGGAAUGGGAAUUUCUAACUUAUGCCUGUCCCACCACUGUAUUUUGGAAACAUAAAACUUGUUUAACUUCAAAAGCUCAGAGUAGAAGGGGAAUUUGGCUCAGAAUGAAUGAUACCUUGAGUCUCACCCAAAUCUAACGUAGAUGAUAUUUAGAUGAGACUUUGAACUUUAAACUUUUGAGUUGAUGCAAAAACAGGUUAAGAAUUUGGGGGCUAUUGACGGGCACGGUGGCUCACGCCUGUAAUCCCAACACUUUGGGAAGCCAAGGUGGGUGGAUCACGAGGUCAGGAGUUCAAGACCAGCCUGGCCAACAUAUUGAAACCCCGUCUAUACUAAAAAUACAAAAAUUACCCAGGCAUAGUGGCACACGCCUGUAGUCCCAGCUACUCAGGAGGCUGAGGCACGAGAAUCACUUGAGCCUGGGAGGUGGAGGUUGCAGCGAGCCAAGAUUGCACCACUGCACUCCAGCCUGGGUAACAGAGUGAGACUCCGUCUCAGGAAAAAAAAAAAAAAAAAAAAAAAGAAUUUGGGGGCUAUUAGGAUAGGAUGAAUAUAUUUUGCAUGUGGGAAAGACACAAAUUUGGGGGGCCCAAGGGUGGGAAGGUAUGUUCUAAAAGUCUGUAUCCCCCAAAAUUUAUAUGUUGAAACCUAACCCCCAAGGUGAUAUUAUUAAGAGAUGUAGCCUUUGGAAGCUGAUUAGAUAAUGGAGGGUCAGUCAUACUGAAUGGGAUUAGUUCCCUAAUAAAACAGACGUGAGAGAGCUUGUCACCUCUUCUGCCAUGUGAGCAUAUAGAUAGAAGGUGCCAUCUUUGAAGCAGAGAGUGAGCCUUCAACAGAUAAUGAAUGUGCUGGGGCCUUGAUCUUGGACUUCCCAGACACCACAACUGUGAGCAGUAAGUUUUAUUAUUUAUAAAAGAUUAUAAAUCACCUAGCUAUGGUAUUUUGCUACAGCAGCCUGAAUGGACUAAAAUAAGGCUGAUAUAUUUUACUGAUAAUUUCAAAGAAUCUGUUUAAAAUUCAUUGAUUAUUAAUUUUUGGCUUUCUAUUCCUGUGAUUUCACUUUCAAAAUGAUUGAAUCAAUUCUUCUCAUUUGCUUGGAUUAAUUAUUUGUUUAUUAACAUUUGGUAAGAUUAGUUCAUUCUUUUCGGUCUUAUUACCUUAAUUUUCAAAACUGUUUUAUAUAACACUUGGUUGAGCUUAUGAUAAUAAAUAAAUAAAUAAACAUUUUAAUAAAGUCAUUAAUGGAUAAAGGCUUUCCUCUGAGAAAAGCAUCUGCAGGCAUAAUAGGAUUUGACUUGAUGUAUUUUGCCUUUAAUUAUUCUCUGGAUAUUAUGUAAGUUCCCUUUUUAUUUCCUAUUUGAGUAAAAGAGAAUCUUAAACGUGUUUAUUAAUUUCAGAUUGGAUAAGAUUUUGGUAAUGUUUCUUUACUUCCAAAUUUAUUGAAUAGACAAAUGAUAUGGAUGGAUAAAUGCUUACUAUUUUAAUACAUUAAAUGAUUUUAAGCCAAAAGACUGAUAAACCUAUUAAAAAUUCUCAUUCUUGCCGGGCACAGUGGCUCACACCUGUAAUCCCAGCACUUUAGGAGGCCAAGGUGGGCGGAUCACUUGAGGUCAGGAGUUUGAGACUAGCCUGGCCAACAUGGGGAAACCCCGUCUCUACUAAAAAAUACAAAAAUAGGCCGGCGUGGUGGCAGGCACCUGUAAUCUCACCUACUCAGGGGGCUGAGGCAGGAGAAUCACUUGAACCUGGGAGGUUGGAGGUUGCGGUGAGCCAAGAUCAGGCCACUAUACUCCAGCCUGGGCGACAGAGCCAGAAGUCCAUCUCAAAAAAAAAAAAAAAAAAACAAAACUCAUUCUCUAAUUGUGAGAUGUAAAGUGUUAUAUUUAAUACGUAAAUUGUGUUUAUUGAUUGAAUAAUUCAGUUCUUUAUGUCUUUUACAGGAAUUUAAAGACUGAUUUAUGCAUAAAACAAGAGAAUCAGAAGUAUUAAAUUUAAUCAGUGCUUAUUAUGGCAUGGUCCAUUUAUAUCAGUGUUUUUCUUUUUGAGAGUAUUUCCUUAUUUUCUGAAUCCAUGUAUAAAUAAAAGCUAUUUUCUACUAAAAAAAAACCAUGGUAACAUGGAUCAAUAAAUAAUACAGAUCAAAGCAGAACUAAACAAAAUAGAGAUGAAAAACCAACACAAAGGAUCAACAAAAUGAAAAAUUGGUUCUUUGAAAAUAUAAACAAAACUGCUGGGCGCGAUGGCUCACUCCUGUAAUCCCAGCACUUCGGGAGGCCAAGACGGGUGAAUCACUUGAGGUCAGGAGUUCGAGAUCAGCGUGGCCAAAAUGGUGAAAUCUCAUCUCUACUAGAAAUAAAAAAAGUAGCCAGGCAUGGUGGCGCACGCCUGUAAACUCAGCUACUAGGGAGGCUGAGGCACAAGAAUCGCUUGAACCCAGGAGAUGGAGGUUGCAGUGAGCCAAGAUCACACCACUGCACUCCAGCCUGGGUGACAGUUUUAUAUUUAUAUAUAUAUAUACACACACACACACACAUAUGAACCUGAUAAACCACUAGCUAGACUAACCAAGAAAAGAACAG
rnacentral:lncRNA from 10 species